rnacentral:precursor_RNA from 12 species
GACUGUAUUUUUGAGCUACUGAAAGUCCACUAGACAUUCUGAACCCCAUUGUUUGUAUGACUCUUUGAACAAUGUGUCUCAGAGUGUUGUGGGCCUGUAGUACCCCCGGCAUCAUCUUUU